rnacentral:rRNA from 1 species
CUGCGGAAGGAUCAUUACCACACCAUAAAACUUUCCACGUGAACCGUUACAAUUAUGUUCUGUGCCUUCUCUCGGGGAGGCUGAACG